rfam:Nitrospirae bacterium RIFCSPHIGHO2_02_FTLL_40_19 rifcsphigho2_02_scaffold_326833, whole genome shotgun sequence.
UCCGGUGGCUAUGCCGGAGGGGAAACACCCGUUCCCAUUCCGAACACGGAAGUUAAGCUCUCCUGGGCCGAUGAUACUUGGGCCGUGAGGCCCUGGGAAAGUAGGACGCUGCCGGUU